GAUGAACGCUGGCGGCGUGCCUAAUACAUGCAAGUCGAGCGAACAGACGAGGAGCUUGCUCCUCUGACGUUAGCGGCGGACGGGUGAGUAACACGUGGAUAACCUACCUAUAAGACUGGGAUAACUUCGGGAAACCGGAGCUAAUACCGGAUAAUAUAUUGAACCGCAUGGUUCAAUAGUGAAAGACGGUUUUGCUGUCACUUAUAGAUGUAUCCGCGCCGCAUUAGCUAGUUGGUAAGGUAACGGCUUACCAAGGCAACGAUGCGUAGCCGACCUGAGAGGGUGAUCAGCCACACUGGAACUGAGACACGGUCCAGACUCCUACGGGAGGCAGCAGUAGGGAAUAUUCCGCAAUGGGCGAAAGCCUGACGGAGCAACGCCGCGUGAGUGAUGAAGGUCUUCGGAUCGUAAAACUCUGUUAUUAGGGAAGAACAAAUGUGUAAGUAACUAUGCACGUCUUGACGGUACCUAAUCAGAAAGCCACGGCUAACUACGUG
rnacentral:rRNA from 1 species